UCACAAUUUAACUAUUAAUGAACACCACAUUUUAAAUCAAACCAUAACAUAUAUUUACAUGAUGAUUCCAUAUUUCAUAGGUCGUCUAUACAUGCCAUAAUUUUCCGGAACGAUAGUAGCAAAAUACCCCAAGUGUGAAGGAUAGUGUGGAUGAUUGUCUGACUUCGUUCCAAAUUUCCGAGUUGUCGGAAGUCACUAUAAUCAAGGGAAAAAUAAAAUCGAGUAAGCAUAUAGCUUAGUAAGUAAACACAUGAUAAAUAAGUAAUUACUCACAUAACUACACCAAAAUAUAAACUUAUUCAUGAAUAACUUCAUUGUUUAGGCAAUUUCCAGCAAACUGUUUUUCUGCGUCAUAGUCGAUAAUUUAUUUUUAUCCGGAGCUACAGGGCUCCAACUUGAGUUUCGUAAAUUUUCCUUGAAACUAGACUCAUAUACCAUUUCACCAUAAAAAUUUCAGAAUUUUUUACCCAGCCAAUUAGUACAUUUUAUUCAUUAAAACUUCCCCUGUUUCACUGCCCAACGGUUCUGACCCUUCCUCAAAAAAAUUCACUUAACUCUCUGUAAAAAAUUUUAAAAAUGGUUUCUAUUGUUUCUAUUAAAAAUAGAGUCAAUAAGGAAUCCAGGAAUAUAAAUUUCACACCAUAAUUAUUUUUGUACAAUUUUUGGUGAUUUUCCAAAGUUAGAACAGGGGAUCCCGAAAUCAAUCCAGCCCUGUUUCAGUAAAAUUCAGAUAUCUCCACAAAUACAACUCUUUUGCUUAUUCUAUUUAUUUCAUAUGAAAAUAGACACAUUCAGCUUCAAUUUCAUAUAUUAUUCAGCUUCCCAUUCAUUUUCCACCAUUUAUGGUGAUUUUUCAAAGUUACCCAUCUGCUGUUGUUCAACACAGUUUAUAACUAAAUCGUUCCUUUUUUCGUUUUUGAUAUUUUCUCCCAUCUCAUACAUGGAUCGAUUUAGUAUCCAACUCAAUAUUUUCCCCAUAAAAAUUUCCACCAUAUGGCAAUAUUCACCUUCCACACUUUUUCGUUGAGCACUCGGAAUGUUGACCGUUAUUGGUGGAUCUCGCACUUAGCACCACCACUUAAUCGGGGAAUCAGCACUUAGCAACCCCUUGGGGGAAUCAGCACAUAGCAACCCCCUUUUUAUUUUAGAGAUACGGUGGAUAUCGCACUUAGCACCACCAAUGAACCGGGGAAUCAGCACUUAGCAACCCCUCGGGGGAAUCAGCACAUAGCAACCCCCUUUCACAUUUCAAAGAUACGGUGGAUAUCGCACAUAGCACCACCAAUGAAUCGGGGAAUCAGCACACAGCAACCCCUUUAUGUACAACAUACUUCGGCUUAUUCCGAGUGUUCAACCCAUAAAUCAUAAAUUGCAACCCUUUACCACCUUUCCCGAUUUAACAACAUUUUUAGGAUAUGGCCAAACAUUUAUUUUAAUUCCAAAUAAAUCUCAACAUAUAUCAAUUAAUGUCAAAAUAAUACAUCAAGUCACGUGUUUACUUACCUCGGUGCAAAAUAUCGUAAUUUUGCACUUCACUCCACUAUCUUUUCUUUUCCUCGUUUGAGAUAAUCUUCACGUCUUUCUUGAUUAUGAGCUUGAGAAAGCAAAGAAACCUUAGCUAUGGCUUCCUUCAAAUUUCGGCAGCAA
rnacentral:lncRNA from 1 species